rnacentral:lncRNA from 1 species
GUAAAAAAAAAAAUACCAUGAUCAAGGAAAAUUAUAGAUGGAAGAGUUUAUUUGGGUUUACAGUUCCAGAGGGGUUAGAGUCCAUCCUGGAGGGAGGUGUGGCAGCAAGGGACAGGAAGCUGAGAGAUCUUCCACUUCAGGUUCGAAGCAGAGUGAAUUGGAAGUAAGAUUAGACUUCAUUCUCAAUUCCCGUCCCCCCUCAUCCCCAGUGAUAUAUUUCCACCAGCGAGGCCCUAACUCCUAAACAUCCCAAACAGUGUACCAGCUGGAGACAACCUGUUCAAAUACCUGAGCCUAUGAAGGAAUUUUUUAUUGAAGCCAACAAAUGCUACCACCAGACCUCUAUAGGCUCAAACCAUGUCAUAACACAAAAUGCAUUUAGUCUAACUCCAAAAGCCACAAUAGUGUUUGUGAGUUUCAAUACUGUUUAAAUGUCCAAAGUCAUGUCUGAGACUCAAGGCAAUGUCUUAGUUGUAUCCUGUUGUAAAAAGAAAAAAAAAUCAAUUCUCAUACCUCUGAUAUAUAAUGACAUGGAAUACACUAUUAUUCUAAGAAGGAGGAAUUGGGACAUAGUGAGGAAAUGCUAGACCAAAGUAAAACCCAAACCCAGCAGGGCUAACACCAAACCCUGUAACUCCUUGUCUAAUGUUAGGAACUUAGGUGGUUCUAUCUCCCCAGCUUUGCUGACUAUGACACACUUCUCACUCUUGGGGGCAAUUCUACUUCCUGUCUGCAGAUCCCCUGGACAGAUUUCUCCUGGCUCUGGCAUCUUCAACAUCUCGAGGUUCAUACGCUUCCCUUUCACAUCAUGGCCUCUCCUGCUCCCUUUCACAAGUUGGAAGCUUAGCUGUGUGGGGUCUUGCCCUGAGGGUACCCUUCUCUUUGUUCCUGUGCGGAACAGAUCCUACAUAUCAGCCUAUGUCUUCCAGACUCCUCUUAGAACCGUCCUUUAAGAGACAUUUACAGCAUUCAACUGCUUCUUUAGUUCAAAGUCCUCCACUUUCUUCCAGACAGCAAUACAGUUAGGUUCUUCACAGCAACAGCCAGUUCUCUGUAUCAACUCUGUAUUAGGUCUUUUCCAUUACUUUGAUAAGGCAUCAUAACCAGGGCAACUUAUAGAAAGGGGGAUUUAUUUAGACCUUCAGUUCUAAGGCAAUAGGAGUCUAUCACGGUAGCUGGAGCACAACGCUGAGCGUGAUCACAUCUUCAACUGAACAUCAGGCAAAGAGACAGAGAACUGGAAGCAGAGUAAAGCUAUAAAUUCUCAAAGCUCUUCCCCAGUGAUAGAAUUUCUCCAGUAAGGCCACACCACCUAUGUCCCCAAGCAGAUGCAGUGGGGACCAAGUGUUCAAAUACCUGAGCUUAUGUGAUUAUGACAUUUCUCAUUCUAACUACAAUAUUCACAAUGUUAAAAACUAGCUAGGUGAUACGAUUAAUGAGUCUCAAAGCUCUCAUUUUAGAACUUUUACUUUUCUCAUUUAUAUGGCAAAAUACCUGAUGGAGGUAGGAGGUCAGUCAUUGAAAUAGCAUGCUACUCUAACUUGAUAGAAGAAUGUGGGAAGCACACUGCAUAGAAAUGCACCAGCCCAGCCGAGGCCAGGCUAGGCCAGCUAUUCCCAGCUUACUCAUGGAUUGGGGGCGGGGGUAUGUUCAUAUUUUGGCUUAUGACUUAAGAGAAUAUAGUCCUUGAUCAUAAGGAAGGCAUGGCAAAGUUCAUGGUGUAGGGAGCAUAAAACUUGAAUUUGUUACACCUCAAUUGACCAGGAAGCAGAAAGUAGAGAAUACUGGACCCAUCUGGUUUUCUCCUUUCCCUUUUCAAUGCACUCUAGGACCCUAGCUGAUGGGAAGGUACCACCUACAUUUAGAGUAGGUCUUUUCUCCUUAGUCAACCCUCUCGAAAUACAACUCAACAUCAUGAGAGGUGUGUCUCCUAGGUAAUUCCAAAUCCACUUAAGCUGACAAUAAAGGUUAACUACCUUUCUUGUGUUAAACAGUGUUAUUCGCUUCGAUCAUAAAGACCACAAAGGAGUAGAAGGAGGUCUAAGACGGAGAUUUUCAACCUGUAGGUUAUAAGCCCUUUGGAGGUCAAAUGACCUUUAUACAGGGGUCACCUAUCAGAUAUCCCACAUACCAGAUAUUUACAUUAUGAUUCAUAAUAAUAGGAAAAUUAUAGUUAUGAAGUAGCAUGAAAUACUUUUAUUGUUAGGGGCUACCACAACACGAGGAAGUGUAUUAAGGGGUCACAGCAUUGGGAAGGCUGAGAACCACUGCUCUAGGAUGAAGAAGUUUGCCCUCCUUCCCUGUAAUCCUCCAGUCUGCAGCAAAUGAGACCAGUAAGUGGUCAGAUAAAUAGCAGCAAGUCAGCCUGCUUUUACUACUAUGACUCUUCCCUGGCUUAGCCUCUUCCCUGCCUAUGCCUGUGACUAGAUGGCUUCCUCUAAUAGUGACUGACGUGAGUCACUCUCUGAGUGUCAUGUCCUCAGUCGAGGAGAGAGCUCUGGAAGAGGGACUUAGGCAAGCAAUGCUAAUAUAAUUGGACUCACAAGAAGCUGGGAGUAGGAGUCCUAUCUCCACAAUUGAGCAUGCCAGGAGGCUCUAUGAAAUAUAAUUGUAAGAGAAUUGACUGUGAGAACUGAUUAGUAUCAUCUGCAGGCUAAAUAUGAAAUUACAUCCCUCCCUCAAAUAUAUGUAUAGGUUUUCACCCAAAUAGUUACAAGUUAUUAUGAUUGGUAAUAUCCUAAAGCAUUACUAAAUCUCUCUCCCUCUCCCUCUCUCUCUCUCUCUCUCUCUCUCUCUCUCUCUCUAUAUAUAUAUAUAUAUAUAUAUGUAUAUAUGUAUAUGUAUAUAU